rnacentral:rRNA from 1 species
GAUGAACGCUAGCGGCAGGCCUAAUACAUGCAAGUCGGACGGGAUUCAGGAGCUUGCUUCUGAUGAGAGUGGCGCACGGGUGCGUAACACGUAUGUAACCUACCUUUAUCAGGGGGAUAGCCUCUCGAAAGAGAGAUUAAGCCCGCAUAAAAUCACAGCACAGCAUUGUGUAAUGAUCAAAUAUUUAUAGGAUAAAGAUGGGCAUGCGGAACAUUAGCUAGAUGGCGGGGUAACGGCCCACCAUGGCGACGAUGUUUAGGGGAUCUGAGAGGAUGGCCCCCCACACUGGUACUGAGACACGGACCAGACGCCUACGGGAGGCAGCAGUAAGGAAUAUUGGUCAAUGGGCGGAAGCCUGAACCAGCCAUGCCGCGUGCAGGAAGACGGCCCUACGGGUUGUAAACUGCUUUUAGACGGGAAUAAACCCAGAUACGUGUAUCUGGCUGAAUGUACUGUAAGAAUAAGGAUCGGCUAACUCCGUG